AUAAGAGGAAUUUCCUUAUAUAAGUAUCUGCCUUUUAAGUGGAAAGCCUUCAAAGAAAGGCAUAUUACAUUUUAUCUAAUAACUGCACAAGACAUUGCACUGAAUUAUAUAAUGAAUUCUAGGCCUUACAUGGUCCCUUCUUCAUCUCUAUUGCACUGAGCAAAGUACAUAUCUCAUAGGAAAACCUUUUAUAAAAGUUAUUUUUAAUUCUGGCAUAUUGCAAGAUAAGAGCGUAGUCCUGCACAGGUGUUGCUUAAAAUAAACUACAGUUUGUUUUUAGGGAUAUUGCUUCAUAAUUGAAUUUGGCAUGUUAUAUAUACCACACUGUGUUAUUUAAGCACAAAUAUUUGUAUUUUGACAGAAUGAGGAUUUUUUAAAGAGUUUGAAGCAAACAAGUUUCUGUGUCUACUCCUAAGUUUUGCUUUAAACUUUUGAAAUCAUGAAAUAAAUUUAUCUAUUAGAAGAAAUGGUCCUGGGUGUUGUGGUGCAUGCCUGUAAUUCCUGCUCCUAAAGAAGGCUGAGACAGUUGGAUUCUUUUAGUACAAAAGGUCUGAGCUACAGUAGAGCAAAAGUGCUACAUUCAUUGCCAAUGUGGUGAGCAUUCUGGGAGCAUGCCUAAGGAAGAGCGAACCAUCCCAGGUUGUAAAAAAAACCAAACAAACAAACAAAAAAAAAACCACCUGGUUAACACUUCGAUGCCGAUCAUUAACACCCAUUCAAGGCUGCUACACUUCUAGCCCAUUAAAAUCAAAAUAGCAGUUCAAAUCUUUCCCCAAAAAAUCAAACAAAAAAUACUAUUCCAACCUGACAGUAUUUUUUAAUAUCUCCAUUCUAGUCUUCGAUGGAAGUAGGGUUCUUUACUUGUCUCAUUAUCCUUAUGUUGUGAACUUAAUUUGAAUAGUUUAUAAGUGGAAUCCUUUUUUACAAUCAAGUUAUAUCAAGCAUAAGUCAGAUUAAAAUCAUGUUAUUUCUAGAUGAGAUUGAUCGCCUUUGGACAAAUUCAUAAUUUCUUUAGGUUACAGAUGAAUGUUUUUGAACCAUAUUCACCAUCCCUUGAUUCCAUCAAGGUCGUGUAAAGCAGGGAGUUGAAGGACUAAUAAUAUGCAAGAUUCUGCUGUCAGUAUUUGUGUAUUUG
rnacentral:lncRNA from 1 species